rnacentral:rRNA from 1 species
AUACGGAAGGUCCGGGCGUUAUCCGGAUUUAUUUGGUUUAAAGGGAGCGCAGGCGGAGAUGCAAGCGUGACGUCAAAUUUCGGGGCUCAACCCCGUCUCGCGUCGCGAACUGCGUCCCUUGGUUGCGGGAAGGGGAGGCGGAACUCGGGGUGUAGCGGGGGAAUGCAUAGAUAUCACGAAGAACUCCGAUCGCGAAGGCAGCCUUCCGGCCCGUCAACGACGCUCAUGCUCGAAGGUGCGGGUAUCAAACAGGAUUAGAUACCCUGGUAGUCCGCACAGUAAACGAUGGACACCCGCGGUUUGGCCUGUAUGGCUGAGCCGCCAAGCGAAAGCGUUAAGUGUCCCACCUGGGGAGUACGCCGGCAACGGUGAAACUCAAAUGAAUUGACGGGG